GGCUGCGGCUCAGUGGUAGAACAUCUGCUCGGCAUGCAGAAGGUGCUGGGUUCAAUCCCCGGCAAAGUCU
rnacentral:tRNA from 1 species